GCUCGGUGUCCUGCAAAUAUACUUAUAUCUUAAAUCAAUUAAGUCAUCUUAUCUUAAGUUUCAAACAAAGUUUCAAACUACGUGAAUUGAUAAAAUCCGAGUUGAGUUUUCAUUAAGAUUUCAAUAUUAUUUCAGUUGAAGUUAAUCAGAAAAUCGAAGUUUGGGUUUUGUUACUUAUAAUGGUUAUAUCUUUGGAAAUAUUACUAAACAUAAUAAAUAUAAUAUCUUGACAAAGAUCCCCCUGAUAAAUAAUUGCAAAAGCAUAAUAAGACAUAUUUAUUUUGUAUUAAUAAUGUUCGCGCAUUUUUACCUUACAUUUAAAAAAAACAUACUCAAGAUGUAAAGGUAAGCAAUAAAUGAAUUCUACAUGAAAUGGACAAACGUAAUUAUUCAUAUUAUCAUAAAAAAUGCAAAAGUUACUGUAUUUGUUAGGUUUUUACAACAAAGCCGUUGGACUGAUUUCACGGAAAUUUAUUCUACUAAAAUGGGUCUCGUGAAAUGAUUAAUCAGAUUAGGG